UCCCUGGAGGAUUAGUGGUUAGGCCUCUGCGCUCUCACCGCUGCGGCCCGGGUUCGUUUCUCGCCCAGGCAC